rnacentral:pre_miRNA from 1 species
AUUGUACUCCAUCCGUUCUAAAAUUCUUGUCUUAGAUUUAUCUAGAUAUGAAUGUAUCUAGUCACGUUUUAGUAUUUAGAUACAUCCAUUUUAAGACAAAUUUAAGUCAAAUUUUGGGACGGAAGGAGUAGUAA